UAGCUGCAUAUGUAUCAAAAGA
rnacentral:piRNA from 1 species